UGCCUGGCGGCUGUAGCGCGGUGGUCCCACCUGACCCCAUGCCGAACUCAGAAGUGAAACGCCGUAGCGCCGAUGGUAGUGUGGGGUAUCCCCAUGCGAGAGUAGGGAACUGCCAGGCAU
rnacentral:rRNA from 1 species